GAUGAAGAACGUAGCGAAAUGCGAUAAGUAAUGUGAAUUGCAGAAUUCAGUGAAUCAUCGAAUCUUUGAACGCACAUUGCGCCCGCCAGUAUUCUGGCGGGCAUGCCUGUUCGAGCGUCAUAACAACCCUCAGGCCCCCGGGCCUGGCGUUGGGGAUCGGCGGAAGCCCCCUGCGGGCACAACGCCGUCCCCCAAAUACAGUGGCGGUCCCGCCGCAGCUUCCAUUGCGUAGUAGCUAACACCUCGCAACUGGAGAGCGGCGCGGCCACGCCGUAAAACACCCAACUUCUGAAUGUUGACCUCGAAUCAGGUAGGAAUACCCGCUGAACUUAAGCAUAUCAAUAAGCGGAGGA
rnacentral:misc_RNA from 1 species